UCCCGUGAAAGGAGUGAUCGAUGCCGCAAUCCCGGUGCAGCCAAAUCAGUCUGUGCGCGCGCCGUUGUUCUGCUCCGGGCCCUCCUUCCGCCGGCGGCCUCGGACGAGCUGCUCUGUUCCGGUCCUUCCUCGCCAGAUGGCGUCCUCAGAUGCACCAGACGCGGCCAUCGCCGUCGCGGCCCCGAUUCCAGUCGGACGCUCUGCUCCGGGCCUCUCAGGCCGGACGCUCCGGACGCGCCUGAUGCGGCCAUCCCGCGCAACUGAGGAAGCCUGUGCGCAGGCGUUGCCCUGGUACGGCCCCUCCUCGCACAGACAGCCACGAACCAUCUGGGGCAAAAGAAGCCGGCAGCGGCGGCAAGCAAUCCCAUCAGGCCGCGGUACACAAGUUUAAUUCAUCCAUCGUCUCCCAUGCUAUUUUCUAGACGAAUCUGAUUUGUUAAUGUUUGCUCUGGGAAGUCAAACCGAGUUGAAGCCUCCUUCGUCGAUGCUCAUCUCCGUCCAGUGUCUAGAUGGGAAAAAUUGGAGACCUGGCUGCCACCACCGCACCUACAGGACGCCUGCUUGGGAAUCUGAAAAACUCUAUGGCACCAAGUGUGUUGGGCGGACAAAACUGGAGCCCUCGCUGCCGCCACGCGGCCACCUGAUCGGCAAAUCCGAAUCACUCUACAUGUACACCUUCAUCUUUAUUAGGUGUUCAACCAUCUUGCAUAAUUUGGGAUUCUUAUUGACUGUUGCUUCCUACCCGUUCAAUUUGUUGAUGUACCAGAUUCAUGGUGUUUGGAUUUAAUUGGAAGAAGUGGUAAGUGUCUUUCAAUCUGCAAUCAAUUGGAUACAACAAUGAAGAACACUUGAUUUUUUUUUGCAACAGAUUAUAGGCUGCCGCACGCAUAUGUUUAUCUAACUCAAACUAGACGAUGAAUGAUACCUGAGCCAGUCAUGUCGCUCAUCUUGAUCUGCCAUCUCCAUUUUCUCAGUCAGGUUGGAUGUAGAUCUACAUAACUAGAUUUUCGUGAAAUUUUACUCUUUGUAAUGUGCCAUUUGCAGGAAGGCCAUUGCUGCAGAUGGAUCCAAAUAAAUUUCCUGGCAUGUUCUCCACAUUUUCGACUGAUGCUUUCAUGUCAUAUGGCGCUGGAGCAUAUCAAUGAUUUCCUUUUGUUCGGUCAUAUGAAUUCUUAUGAUGAGAUUGGAUUCUUUAUAGACAGGAAUCACCAACACACAUAGUUGAAUGAAAGUAUCACGUAUGUGCUACUACAUUUUUUAAUAGAUUAUGUCCGAUGGGGCUAGCGCAAACUGAUUCUUAUUAUGUAGAAUCAAUAUAUUGCUAUAUCAUGAUUGGUCUUUAUGCCCAGCGAAUAUUGAAUCCGCCUAAAUUGAUCUUAGGAUGUAGUAUAUGGUUCACGAUCCAAGUAGAGAUUACACAAGAAGUCAAGAACUGGUAUUUUUCAGUCGAACUUUUUUCCUCAGUUUGUGAAGAUCUGCAACAUUUAACAUGUGUUUUUCUUAGUUAUGGUGCUUCGAACCAGUUCAAUAUUUAGUAGUCCCUAUUGGAUGUACUAUUAUGUAUUCUCCUGAAAAGAACCAUUGUAUUUGUCAGAUAAGAAUGGACGAGGUUAGUUGAUGCGACACAUUUUCAGUUC